rnacentral:rRNA from 1 species
UACGGGAGGCAGCAGUGGGGAAUAUUGCACAAUGGGCGCAAGCCUGAUGCAGCGACGCCGCGUGGGGGAUGACGGCCUUCGGGUUGUAAACCUCUUUCACCAUCGACGAAGGUCCGGGUUCUCUCGGAUUGACGGUAGGUGGAGAAGAAGCACCGGCCAACUACGUGCCAGCAGCCGCGGUAAU